rnacentral:rRNA from 1 species
UACGAGUGCCCCAAGCGUUAUCCGGAAUUACUGGGCGUAAAGCGUCUGUAGGGGGUUUUGUUAGUCUUGCGUUAAAUUUUGGGGCCCAACCCCAAAGCCGCGCAGGAAACGGCAAAACUAGAAGAUGUGAGAGGCUGAUGGAACUCACGGUGUAGGGGUGAAAUCCGUUGAUAUCGUGGGGAACACCAAAGGCGAAGGCAUUCAGCUGGCGCAUUCUUGACCCUGAGAGACGAAAGCGUGGGGAG